AUGUACUUAUUUUUUUAAUUAUAUCCGUAUUGUUUUUUUUAGACAUCUUUUUUAGAUUGCAAACUAUGUUAAACUUAACAUUUUCUGGAUCUCGUGUAUGUUUGCUAGCUCUAGAAAAAAUUCUCGUCCUUUCUUUCAAUCAGUCCACUCCGAAAGUGAAAAUAAAUUGAAACUGUUGACAUGUGAUAAUAAAUUCACAUAUCGGUCAUAAUAUAUAUUUUUUUUCUGUUUUUUGAACGCGGAUUAUAUUUGCACGUGAACUGUUCUAAUCCCAGACAAUUUGAAUUUGUUUUUCUUCAAUUUAUUGGGUUCACACAUACAAUAGAAAAACUCUGUUCGGUGGAUGCCACUCGUUAAAAAAGAUUACGAACCGAUUUUUUGUACAAUAUUAUGUUGUCGAUAAGACUCCGUAAAAAAUAGCUGGGAGAUGGAGGACGCAUCAUAGAUCAUAUUAUAUAAUAUUUUUUCCAUAUACAUACUUCAAUGAAUAAAAUAUAACCAGGCCUAUAUUAUAAUAUCAAAACAAUAAAUAUAACUAUUAUAAAAUGUUUGAAUCGACUGAAGUUCCCAAAAAUACUGGCAAAUAAACCAAAGUAGGGACCUUCUAUGUAUGCUAUAACUUGGCAUUGUCAUGAAGAAAGGGUUUUUAGGAAUCCAAGAGUCGUCCAGACGUAUCACAAUCAUUAAGAUUUCAACGGACGGGCGGCUGGUUAAAUUACGGAUAGGCAACCGAUAAUGUAAUAAUUACCAUUUAUAAAUUAUUGUGUUUUUGAAUAAAUGUCGUAGUUUUGGUGCGUAGCGAAAAACGUGGUAUAGCCAUAUGGUACUGAAAUAUGAGUUGUGCAUCGCCGUUUAUAAAAUGUAUAUUCACCACACCACCGUAAGUUUGUAUAUUAUUAAAUUUAUUUAAUCGAACAUAUUAUUCAGCAAAUAAUUAUUAUUGGCUCUAUCUUAUAAAUUCCAGAUAAAAAACUAUACAUAUCUAUAGUUGCUACCUACCUGAUUGACGAAGACUUGAUUUUGGAGGGGUUGGCGGAUAUCGAGAGAUGAUUAAUACCCCCCCCCCCCCUCUCACCACGCAAUCACUAUUUGCUCUAAUGUAUAUAUUAUAGUUUAUUAUUAUAUCCGUACGUUAAUUUUCGUGUAUAAAAUAUGCCUCAGGGCUCAGGUCUCCAACACAAUUUGCGUGGUUUUACAUAUUUUAUAAUGUCAAUAUUAUUGUAGGUAAUACGCACCACGAUAUAGAAGAUGAUUUUCACAAUAAUUCUAGUUUUGUCAUGAUAUUGGCCCAGAAUAUUAUGUAGGUCGCCGUAUUUGACAUUUCGGGUAAUAUGUUUUUGGCUUUUUGAAUCCGAUCCGGCGGAGAGUUACAAUUUACCGAAAUAUCUCGCACAAAAGAUCUUAUUCGCGUGCAGAGAAUUUGACGCACAUAUUGAUGAUAAUUUUAAACAUUCAAAGGGUCGUUUCGAAUGGGAAUUGUUGAUGAACACUCAAACGGGAAGCCAAUCGAAUUCCGCCACGCGCACCAACAAUAUCCAAGGGUCAUGUGCAUAAACUACUAGGAGCUUUUAGUGAAAUCUCUCGUCCGUAAUUUAAUUCUACUUUUUUUUUUUUUGGUUUUUUCACUCGUUUAGUAAAAAUAAAAUAGAACUAGAAUCAUUCGCUCGGUAUUUAUGUGCGCACGUAAAAUCCGUUUAACCAUUGAAACUGUUCACUUCCAUAUUAUUAUUAUUCAACGGUUUAUUUGUACCAUAUACAUAAUCCAUUGAUAUACUGGUGCUUAUAAUAUUACACGGAUAUAUUGUGCUCGUCCAGUUUUGAAUUUGUUUUCACAGGCGGUGGAAAAAAACAAAAAAAAAAAUAUAUAUAUAUUUAUACCGUCCAACAACGUUACAACGGUCCGUGUGGGUAAUUGUACACGGUUCGGCCAUCAUAAUAUUAUUAUUAUCUCGUCGGCUUGCGAGGGAAGAAGUCUGAUGCGUUAUGUCUUAUUGACGGUAAUUUGCGGCCAUUGAAAAUAUGAGACGGUCGUUUGCUAUCGUUUUAUAAGACAUGUAUGGCGUGUAGUAUACUAUAGUAUAAGUCAUAAGAACAUUGCAUUUUAUCAAAAUAAGUAAAAUCAAUAUACGUUAACGGAGCGAACGUGUUGAGACCACACAAUUAUUAUAAUGCCACUUGAACGUCGUAAUAAAACGCCGUGGAGGUGUCUCUCUUCUACCGGAAUUUCGGCAAGAAUGUAUGUACUCGGGUUGACGUCGAUUUGGACAUUAUAUUUUAAUUUUGUUUGAUUUUGAUGAAAAGGUUUCCUUAUAUUACCUAUGGUAUAUUGUUUACCUUUUUAUUGAGAGUGGUUACAACAAUAUUACAAAAACCGUAUACCAACAAUUAUUGCUUUAUUCAUUUAAAUCCGAUGUGAUUGGUCAUAAUGAGUAUUGAAAGGAAACAAAAGUAAUAUUUUCGAUUCUUAUAGGAACCUAAACUAAACAAAUUCCUUAUUCGGUUUUUUUUUUCGAAUUUAUCAAGUUUUAUCAAGUGUAUGCAAUAGAAGUAUAUUGCUGCACGAUUCGGGCAUAAUAUAGCAACUAUUUAGUCGUCUGGAGGAUAUCUGAAGCAGUCGUUUUGAUAGGUGCCUAUUCGACGAUCAUCAGUUUGUUGUCAAAAAAUGUUUCAUUCUGUCUUCUGACAUUUUAAAGACGACCAAUUAACAUUAGGAUUACAACUCCUCCAAAUCUGAUCUUAAACAUUCAGCCAAAAGUGAUUUAGUUUUGAGUUUAGUCAUUCAACGCGUAGCUUCUGCUGUUAUUCUCAGUCCGAUUUUGCGCAAUAUAACCACACCCGACUGUACGGGGUAGGCAAUUAUUAUUUUACUCUCGGGGAAAAUCGGAGAUAAUGUAAUAGGUACACAUGAUAGGCAAUACGCACAUCACGGUGUAUAAUAAUAUUUAUACAAUAACACGUGUUUAGAACAAACAUGAUAAUAUUAUAUUAUAUUACACAUCGUUGUUGACGUUCCGUUGAUUUUUCGCAAUUCGAUUAGCUACGAUUCAAACCCUUAUUUUCAGUAUUAUAAAAUAAUAAUAUGUUACAUGAGUAUUUUGGCCGAGAGUACGGUAAUGCGUGGUUAAUUAACGCGAUGUUUUCGUUAUUGCGUACCUAUACUGCUCCUCGAGUUGGGGCCAUCAAAAUCUGUUCAUCGUCGCAAUAUCGAUGUAAUAUACAUGACUAUAAGACAUGAUUCUAAACGUGUGAUAUUAUGUUUUCAAAAAUGUCUGCUGUUUCGGAAAACCAGUUUUUGCUGUCUGCGACCGCGACGGUGGAGGCGUGCGAAAAAGGCGUAAUAUUAUUUCAUGUUACUCUCCCCUAAUCAGUAGUCUCACUCAUAAAAAAAAACCGACAAAACAAAAAGAGAAUUUUAAGGUGAAAAAUAAUUAUAUAUUUUUUAAAUAGACGUUUACUUCCAACUUUAGAUCCACGCGUAACCCGUCAUGGACCACACACGGUUGUUGUGACUAUCGAAUAUAUUAUUACGAUGAAAUGUAUUUAUCCGAAAAAUUACUCAAACAUAUCAGACCAGAUAUUAUUAUUAUAUCCAACCAUCGAAUCGCGUUCACCGGGUAUCUGUUUAAAAAUUAAUCGAGGAUAUCUUAUAUUCACGUAAUAAUUAACGCGAGAGAGUACCGCUAAAUGUGUAAUGCGUACGCGAUAGGUACAUAUUAUUAUUAUGUCGUUCAUAUGUAUAGUGCUAAUUAAUAAUAAUGAAUAUUUUGUAUACGGGAGCUGAUAAUAUACGGUGCAGUGUAAAAACUAAAAACAUCAACGAACGCAGUUCAACCGGUCAGGGUUUCGCAGUGUAUAAUAACAUUUCGCUAAUAGAAUAAUAUUACGCGAUCAAUGAUUUACGAUAUUAUAUCCUCCCACGUCCCAGAGGAAUUAUAGAAUAAUAUACGUUAUCCACCAUACUAUUAUUAUAUGUUGUACGUUAGAUUUUCGACUCGGCAGCAAGCGUAUAACAUCAUCGUGAGUUUGUUGAAACAGUAAGUUUUACUUUUCGCAUUCCAAUAUAACAAUAAUGGUCGUCAAUAAACGCGCGUCGAUAAUACCAUGACGUGUGCGUGGUCUUUUGUCCAGAGGGACAAAGUUAAAAAUGAUUGUCAGUGGAUCAAAAUAAAACCGAACAGCUUUUCAUCGCGAAAUUUCGGGCACCCUGAACAACAAACGUCGACCUCUAUCGUUGGAUGUUACGGUAACCCGAAAUUCGUAUAUUAAUAAUUGUAGACCCGGUUUUCGUUGCUGCUGAAAUCCGUAUAAAUUGUAAACUCAAUUCAUAUUUCUGAGAUUCAUAUAAAUUUCGAUAAUAGUAUGAAUAGGUACACUAUAUUAUAUAGGUUAAUAUAGGCACCACUGCAAUUCAAUUUUUGUUUUCACAGUCUGCAGCGGAUGUCGAAAUGAUUACGGAUAAAUAGCGAAAAAACGGAUACAAUAAUAGAUGUUCAGCACGUCGGCGAACAACGUAGUUAGUGGUGUUGUGAUGUACGAUUGUAAUAAGAUAAUGUAUAUCGAUCUGGAUUGCAGAAGGUCAGAUGAAAAGCUUGAAAAAAAAAUCCAUUUUUGCUUUAGACGAUAUUGAAUGCAAACAUGAAACAGAUUCAAUUGUCUAUUUGACGUUUCACCAACUAUAAACGAUUGCCAUCUAAAUGUUAAUUAAAAUAAUAACUUGUCGUGAGUCGAUAACGUAUGAUGUUGAAAUAACAGUAUUCUAGAUUGAACUGAUGAUGCAAUAGAACAGUAGUUCUGAACAUUUUUGAGACUGCCACUCCCCUGAAAAUCAAAAUAUUUGAUAUCACCCAACUUGAUGACAUACGCGGGGAGAGGGAUCAGAUGAUUUGAAAAGUAAAAAUAAUUUAAACCACCAUCGGAGAAUUGAUAGUAUUUAAUAUAUUAUUAUAUAUGAAUUGUGUUGUUUAUUUGAAAAAUUACAAAAAGCAACAAAAAUCAAUUUAAUUUUGAUUAGUGAGAUGGCGUUAUGCACUUGGUGAUUCAGAACUAGUUUAUUCAUACUAGGUUCAACGCUGGUGAGAUAAAAGUCUCCUCUCUUAACGGUAUCGAGUCGAUUUCUCUUCUUUAUAAUUAGCACUGAAUCCUCGCUUGAUGUUCACCUGUACAUAUCUGAGGAAAUAUUUUCCGGUGAGAAAUUUAUAGAUUGCAAGAACAAUCGCAGAUAAGCGAUCGUGGGUGAUUCUACGUACAUUGUACCUAUAUUUCAAUUUUAGUUGGCAAUGAUUAAAAAAUUACAAUUUUUAAAUAAAAAUUAAUACGAUUAGACAUAAUAAUAAUAUGUUAUGAUUUCACAUUAUAAUUGCAUAUUUAGUUGUAUCAAAAAUAGUCAUUAAAAUAAUAUAAGAUUAUGAUACUUUUAUACGUUUACAAAACCGGAUAGCAUACGUCAGUAUAUUUAGAGUCUCUUACCAAUGUUCGUGGUUUGAAUAAAAAUUAAAAUAAAGCUAUUCGUAUUAGUUUAUGGUUAUAUUACAGUGUGUUAUCUCUUCGACAUUGAAAUGUAAGUUUGAAGAAAGUAUACUUUUUAAAGUAAAUUCGAUAGUUUGGAAAUGCAGCAUGAUAAUAUAAUAUAAUAUUACAAUUUGUAAAUAAAUAACAUUAUGCAGGAUGUUAUGUGAUAUUGUUAUUAUUAUUUCACUGGGGUCCCGACAUUAUCGAACUUUUAAGUCAGAAUAGCACAACGUAAAUAAUUUAACAUUUUAAUAGCGUGUAAAACGCGCGCAUAUUAUACGUGAAUUAUAUUGUGUUUACGAGCGCCGUUAUUAUUUCCCAAGUUUAUGCGUUAAAAACAAGGAUUUCCGUAAGCCUCAUUUACACGGAUUCGUUAGUCGCAGUUAAGUGGAAACAAUUGGGUCGCAAGCUGUACAACUGUCGGAUCCCGGUCGUGUAUUUACGAUAUUGCAUUAUAUGGCCAAAAUAUGAUCACGUGAAACAUUUAGGUACGAUAUAUUAUGUACAUGUUAUACUCUGCUGCAGUACUACACGUUCUAUCGAAUUUACUAAAGUCAUUUAUAGUCUGAACAAGUUCGGUUAUAAAUUAAUUAAAUUUAAAAACUCGUGAUUCGGAGAGAUUUUAACAUAAAAUUAUUGUACAUAUCGACAGUAAUUAACAUACAGGCAUAGACUUUAUAAGAUUAACAAAAAACAAAGAAGAUGAACAGGAGUUCAGGAAUUCCACAGUGCGAUUAUAACAUCAACGAGUUUUCCUAUUAUAUUAUUCAUCGGGGUUGUCGUUCAAAACGAAAAACGUUGGAUUUUUUUCACGCAAACACAAUUAUGUCGAAACUCGAGAGCAGAUCAACAACAACAACAACAACAACAACAAUAAUAAUAAUAAUAAUAAUAAUAAUAAUAAUAAUAAUAAUCGUACAAUACCAACACCGAUGUGCGCGAGCAUCACAAUAUAUUAUAUUAUGAUUUGGCUUUUAUGAUAGUGAUAUUAUUAUGUUGAUGAUAUUUCCUUUUAUAAAUAUAAUACUGCAGAGCCAUUGGCCUGGAAAAACGAGGCGCGUCUAGAAAAUAUUUGAGUACAAUAUAAUAAUAAUGUAAUAUUAUUUAGAAAGAUGACAAAUUAGAUCGGAAAAUUGACUUUAGAACACCGACGAAAGGUUAGGCAUAUGAUAUUCCAAAUGUUAUUACACAAGCAAGCCGAUCCAACGCAAUUACAAAACACUUGUUAAUGUUUGUAUUUUUGGACUGAUUCACGCGAAUAACAUUUCACUUUACUAAGACUACGACAAUAUAACAUUAAUUAUUAAUCUAAUAAAUUAUAGAAUAUAGUAAUAUAUUCAACAUACCAUAUACCAAAGGUAUAAUCAAGGGUAGACGGGAGACUUAGAUACGCUAUAAGCCUAUUUUUACUGUUGUCGUUUUUAUGAUUAUAUAGUAUAUAUAAUAUAUAUUAAUAUAAUAUUAAACAUAUUGAAAAUCCUAAUGAUCUCAAUGAAAAAAAAAUCGGUUAAUUAGGUUAUGAAUAUUAGCUGUAUACAUAAUAGAUAUAUAAAAUUUAAUUCUGAAGAUAUCAUAUGUUGAUUCGAUUUACAAGCUUACCUAGAAAAUUGGAACUAGUUUUAUUAAUCACUAUGUUAUAUUGGUACCUAUGUGUAUAUUAUUAAUAGUCAGAGUAACAAUUUAAUAUUUUAACUGUAUUUAUCAACCAAAUAUGAUAAUAUAAAAUAUAAUUGUACUCCUUUGAGAGUAAAAUACGGUGUUACAAUGCUUACAGAUUUUUACUGAAAAUACCUAUCUUAGCCUCUUCCCCCCUCAAAAAAAAAAAAAAUGAAAUUUAUUUUUACGCCACUGCACUACAAUAGUUAUUUCAUACGACAAUGAACAAUUUCUAUAUUGAAUGCUCUAAUAGGAAAUGUAUAUGAUAAUUAAAUUAAAAUUAAAAUGACGGUAAAAUAGGUGUACGUAUAGGUUCAUUAUUAUAUAAUUAUGUGAAAUAGCUGUAAAAGAAUCAAAUUAUUAUAUACAAUGAUAUAUUCAUAUAGGCUUUCAGAUUUUGCAGGAGUAUAGUCCCAGAAAAAAAUGUAAAUUGCUUUUGUAGAAUAAUAGGUAUAUACGCACUGAAUGCAUAUUAUAAUUUCGAAUUAAAAUUAAUAUAAUGGCGCAUGUUACCCAUUUUGAUGAAAAUAUUUUGAUUUUCAAAUUGUUCCUAGCCGAUGAUUAAAUUUUAAUACUUGGAAUACAAUUUAUAUUCCAUGCAUAUUACUGAACAAGUACCUCAUCGAUAAUAAAUAUUAAUAAUUAGUUGUAUAAAACCAUUAUAUUGUUAUGAAUAAAUAUGAAUAGCCUCUGAUACAAAUAAAAAACACAAUACACGUUGAAUUUCAUUGGCAUCGGAGACUGACUCGUACUCAAUGUAAGCCGUAUCAAAUAACAAAAAUAAUAAUGUUUAAAUUAGUAUAACAAUAUUAUUAUCCAGUAUUACAUUUUAAAAAUAAUAUAAGUUGUUCCAUUUAAAAAUGUCAGCAACAAAACUAUAUUUAGUAUUAUAAAAAUACCGUUAGUGCUGAGGGAUUAAAUUCAUGGCUUCGUUUUGUUUCUUAUUAACUGAGGGUUAAGUUCAGAGCAAGUUUGUAUUUUUAGCUUUGACCGUCUUUGUUAUUUAAACGUAUAUAUUACUAUACGCGUUUUCUCGGGAACGUGCUAUGUGCAGCUUUCUGGCUUUAACCAAUUACACCCUGCAAACUUUAUGUCAUAAGAACGUUAUUAUUUUGUUUAUGAAAAAAAAAAGUAUAAUAUUGUAUAAGUAUAGUAAUAUUAUUAUUAUAAUAUAGUCACUUCUGGUGAAUAAAAAUAAAGGUUACGCUAUAACAAGUUCGCCGAAAAAUAAAUAUAGGUACUGUACUUUAUAAAAAACAUUACAAGUUACCUCUUAAAACACGACGAAGUGGCGAAAUGCAUAAAAAAAUCAAAAUAUAAUAUAACGAACGAUAGAUGUUAUAUAAUAUUAUUACAUUAAAUCCAUUAGUUAAUUUCAAGAGCAAUGAUAACUUUACAAUUAUUUGCAGAUGCCCCCGAGGCCUUCCUUCCGCGGACGGAUAAAAAAAUAUUAUUUCGUGCCAUUUAAUGUUGAGAUAAAUAACUUUAUUUUUAUAUUCGAUGACUAUUUAAAUUUAAAUUUUUAUGAUAUUAUGAUUACUAUUUAUAAGUAAUGUUCUUUUUUUGUAUUAUUAACAAUGUAUAUAAAUAUCUUAGAUAUAAUUUUGUGACCGAUCGUGGACCACUGGUUCGAAAUUCAAUUCAUAUGACGUAUCGAUUGUCUGAACAAUAGCUCGCAAUUAUAUACAAUCCAUUCAAUAUUACAAUAAAUAAUUUCAUUGACUUAUAAUAAUUUACAAUACAAGCAGCAUGGAAGAUGGUUUGGAUGUAAAAUUUAAAAUCUAUACUACAAUUCAAAAUGCGAGUAAAAAAUUGAAAAAAAUAUGUCACUAAAAAAUUGUAAAAACAUAUUUAUUUUUUCAAAAA
rnacentral:lncRNA from 1 species